UUUUAGGCAUGCUUUGUGCUUUAGCAUGAGUUCAGUCAUUUUGUGUUUUGCAGUGCUGUGGCUCUGUAACCCUCUGCUGGACUAAACCUGAAGUUUGCUGAGCUGCACCUCACUGCAUGGUAUUGUGUGUGGACAUCUUCAGAAGGCAAAGAACAGAGCAAGCCAUUGCUUCUACUGACAGCGCUGAAAAGGGCAUCUUCAAGGAAGAAUUCUCGUGGGCACCUGGGAUGAAGGUGAUGAAUGUGCUGUACCGGGAUGAUAGCAUUCUUCCCCUGCCCAGUUGACAAAAGUGGAUGAAUUAUGUUCUCCGGUGUAAGGAUAUGUAUACACAUGCACGUAUAUUUAUACAGCUUUUCAAAGUGCUGCUUUUUAAAAGGACGUUGUAAAAGUUUUAUCCAUUUCUAGUAAGUUGAUACGCUACAACAGUUCCAUGCAUUUACUUUCUGUUUUUUUUUCUGUUUUUGUUUUUUUAAACCAGCAUUUAUUCUUUAAUUAGCUGCUGCUAAUUAAAAAUAUAAAGUAAAAUCCAGGCUGUUGUAAAAACUAGUGAUAGUCUAUGGAUUAACUGAGUGAGGACAAAUAGAAGUUAAGCUCAUUAAGGCUUAUGGGGGU
rnacentral:lncRNA from 1 species